GACGUAGGGGGCGAGCGUUGUCCGGAUUCAUUGGGCGUAAAGAGCUCGUAGGCGGUUCGGCAAGUCGGGUGUGAAAACUCCAGGCUCAACCUGGAGACGCCACCCGAUACUGCUGUGACUCGAGUCCGGUAGGGGACCACGGAAUUCCUGGUGUAGCGGUGAAAUGCGCAGAUAUCAGGAGGAACACCGGUGGCGAAGGCGGUGGUCUGGGCCGGUACUGACGCUGAGGAGCGAAAGCGUGGGGAGCGAACAGG
rnacentral:rRNA from 1 species